rnacentral:rRNA from 1 species
GGUUAAGCGACUAAGCGUACACGGUGAAUGCCCUGGCAGUCAGAGGCGAUGAAGGACGUGCUAAUCUGCGAUAAGCGUCGGUAAGGUGAUAUGAACCGUUAUAACCGGCGAUUUCCGAAUGGGGAAACCCAGUGUGUUUCGACACACUAUCAUUAACUGAAUCCAUAGGUUAAUGAGGCGAACCGGGGGAACUGAAACAUCUAAGUACCCCGAGGAAAAGAAAUCAACCGAGAUUCCCCCAGUAGCGGCGAGCGAACGGGGAGGAGCCCAGAGCCUGAAUCAGUGUGUGUGUUAGUGGAAGCGUCUGGAAAGGCGCGCGAUACAGGGUGACAGCCCCGUACACAAAAAUGCACAUAUUGUGAGCUCGAUGAGUAGGGCGGGACACGUGGUAUCCUGUCUGAAUAUGGGGGGACCAUCCUCCAAGGCUAAAUACUCCUGACUGACCGAUAGUGAACCAGUACCGUGAGGGAAAGGCGAAAAGAACCCCGGCGAGGGGAGUGAAAAAGAACCUGAAACCGUGUACGUACAAGCAGUGGGAGCACGCUUAGGCGUGUGACUGCGUACCUUUUGUAUAAUGGGUCAGCGACUUAUAUUCUGUAGCAAGGUUAACCGAAUAGGGGAGCCGAAGGGAAACCGAGUCUUAACUGGGCGUUAAGUUGCAGGGUAUAGACCCGAAACCCGGUGAUCUAGCCAUGGGCAGGUUGAAGGUUGGGUAACACUAACUGGAGGACCGAACCGACUAAUGUUGAAAAAUUAGCGGAUGACUUGUGGCUGGGGGUGAAAGGCCAAUCAAACCGGGAGAUAGCUGGUUCUCCCCGAAAGCUAUUUAGGUAGCGCCUCGUGAAUUCAUCUCCGGGGGUAGAGCACUGUUUCGGCAAGGGGGUCAUCCCGACUUACCAACCCGAUGCAAACUGCGAAUACCGGAGAAUGUUAUCACGGGAGACACACGGCGGGUGCUAACGUCCGUCGUGAAGAGGGAAACAACCCAGACCGCCAGCUAAGGUCCCAAAGUCAUGGUUAAGUGGGAAACGAUGUGGGAAGGCCCAGACAGCCAGGAUGUUGGCUUAGAAGCAGCCAUCAUUUAAAGAAAGCGUAAUAGCUCACUGGUCGAGUCGGCCUGCGCGGAAGAUGUAACGGGGCUAAACCAUGCACCGAAGCUGCGGCAGCGACGCUUAUGCGUUGUUGGGUAGGGGAGCGUUCUGUAAGCCUGCGAAGGUGUGCUGUGAGGCAUGCUGGAGGUAUCAGAAGUGCGAAUGCUGACAUAAGUAACGAUAAAGCGGGUGAAAAGCCCGCUCGCCGGAAGACCAAGGGUUCCUGUCCAACGUUAAUCGGGGCAGGGUGAGUCGACCCCUAAGGCGAGGCCGAAAGGCGUAGUCGAUGGGAAACAGGUUAAUAUUCCUGUACUUGGUGUUACUGCGAAGGGGGGACGGAGAAGGCUAUGUUGGCCGGGCGACGGUUGUCCCGGUUUAAGCGUGUAGGCUGGUUUUCCAGGCAAAUCCGGAAAAUCAAGGCUGAGGCGUGAUGACGAGGCACUACGGUGCUGAAGCAACAAAUGCCCUGCUUCCAGGAAAAGCCUCUAAGCAUCAGGUAACAUCAAAUCGUACCCCAAACCGACACAGGUGGUCAGGUAGAGAAUACCAAGGCGCUUGAGAGAACUCGGGUGAAGGAACUAGGCAAAAUGGUGCCGUAACUUCGGGAGAAGGCACGCUGAUAUGUAGGUGAAGUCCCUCGCGGAUGGAGCUGAAAUCAGUCGAAGAUACCAGCUGGCUGCAACUGUUUAUUAAAAACACAGCACUGUGCAAACACGAAAGUGGACGUAUACGGUGUGACGCCUGCCCGGUGCCGGAAGGUUAAUUGAUGGGGUUAGCGCAAGCGAAGCUCUUGAUCGAAGCCCCGGUAAACGGCGGCCGUAACUAUAACGGUCCUAAGGUAGCGAAAUUCCUUGUCGGGUAAGUUCCGACCUGCACGAAUGGCGUAAUGAUGGCCAGGCUGUCUCCACCCGAGACUCAGUGAAAUUGAACUCGCUGUGAAGAUGCAGUGUACCCGCGGCAAGACGGAAAGACCCCGUGAACCUUUACUAUAGCUUGACACUGAACAUUGAGCCUUGAUGUGUAGGAUAGGUGGGAGGCUUUGAAGUGUGGACGCCAGUCUGCAUGGAGCCGACCUUGAAAUACCACCCUUUAAUGUUUGAUGUUCUAACGUUGACCCGUAAUCCGGGUUGCGGACAGUGUCUGGUGGGUAGUUUGACUGGGGCGGUCUCCUCCUAAAGAGUAACGGAGGAGCACGAAGGUUGGCUAAUCCUGGUCGGACAUCAGGAGGUUAGUGCAAUGGCAUAAGCCAGCUUGACUGCGAGCGUGACGGCGCGAGCAGGUGCGAAAGCAGGUCAUAGUGAUCCGGUGGUUCUGAAUGGAAGGGCCAUCGCUCAACGGAUAAAAGGUACUCCGGGGAUAACAGGCUGAUACCGCCCAAGAGUUCAUAUCGACGGCGGUGUUUGGCACCUCGAUGUCGGCUCAUCACAUCCUGGGGCUGAAGUAGGUCCCAAGGGUAUGGCUGUUCGCCAUUUAAAGUGGUACGCGAGCUGGGUUUAGAACGUCGUGAGACAGUUCGGUCCCUAUCUGCCGUGGGCGCUGGAGAACUGAGGGGGGCUGCUCCUAGUACGAGAGGACCGGAGUGGACGCAUCACUGGUGUUCGGGUUGUCAUGCCAAUGGCACUGCCCGGUAGCUAAAUGCGGAAGAGAUAAGUGCUGAAAGCAUCUAAGCACGAAACUUGCCCCGAGAUGAGUUCUCCCUGACUCCUUGAGAGUCCUGAAGGAACGUUGAAGACGACGACGUUGAUAGGCCGGGUGUGUAAGCGCAGCGAUGCGUUGAGCUAACCGGUACUAAUGAACCGUGAGGCUUAACCUU